rnacentral:lncRNA from 1 species
CUUCAGUUUUAGUACUUUCCUUUUCUUCAAAUUUAGAUGCCAGUGUUUCUGUAUCAGGUUCAGUUACAGCUGAAACUAUUGCGUCAACCUCGGUAUGCCCUCGUUUCUCAUUUUUAACUGCAGGUUCAUCAUCGUCGGUCGUAGCUGUCUUUGCUUCAAUCUGUUUCUCAUCCUUGUUGAUUUCAACCGUGGCUUCUCUUGCGAAUACUUGGAUACUUCCUGGUGCUUCUGGUUCAUUCUUGUCAUCAGCCACAGCAAAAGCAAACGUUUCCUCAACACUGGUAGGAAUUGAAUACUCUCUUUCUUCAAUGUCAGUUUUACCUUUGUGAUCAAUGGAAGCUUGUUCAGUGAAGUUUGAUUCAUUCUUGUUGUCCUCUUCAACAACCUUUUCUGCAACUUCAGGAGCAGGUUCCACCAGAUUUUGAAGGGCUGCUUGCACUUCCUCAUUUAAUGAAACUAGUGCAGUGUUUUCGGUAAUGUUACCAGGCACGGCUUCUAACACUGUGAUACCAGUCUCUUUCACCA